rnacentral:lncRNA from 1 species
GCAGAAUAAUUUUGCUUCAGCGUUUAUUUUGUUCAUGUACAGAAUAAGGACAUGAAACAAAAUAAACUGUACAAUGUACAUGAGACUAAGCUGAAUAUUGAACACCAGGCCACUUUGGACGCCAUCAGACUUGAUGGUGAUGAAGGUGCCCUGCAUCCUGAACCAUAGUAGAGAUUGUUAGUGAUCUUGAAAAAAAAAAUAGAAUCGCAUGCAUGGUCAGUGUUAAAUGGAGACGGAAAAAGGACGGGCAUCUGUACUCAUACCGAGCUUAGAGCAUAUACUGACUAUUUAGACAUCAAAAAAUGAAUUCUGAGACUGCACUAAAACAAAAUAGAACUACUACAAAAUCGAGACCUGCAUGCAGCAGCUAAAUCUGAGACCUGAAUGCUUUAGAGCCAAGAUCCAUUUGCAGCUGCAGCCUUGACUUUAUCGAAUAAAAGAAUAUAACUAAAUAAUGAAUCACUGAAUUAUUUAACCUGAAAGACGAUGGUAGUGCAGCUACAACAGAUCGAAAAAACAAUAUAAUGAAACAUUUAGAAAAAAUGGAGACAUAAAGGAUGGGCAGCGGUGCUCAUGCGCCUAGAGCAUAGACUGAAUAUUUAGAAAAUCUGAAAAAAAUGAAAUCUGAGACUACACUAAAGAAAUGAAUAGGACUCUAAAUUGACUAAUACUAAAUGACUCUGAACAAUUGAUCUUGUUUGUAGGAAAUCUUCAACCUGCUGUAUAGUGGUUUCACACAGCAAUGGUAGCUGCUAUAUAGUGGUUGCAAUGAAUAUUCAGCUGACAGUGUUAACUUAGUACACUGAAAAGUACAUAUUCAGAGAAAAACGAACAUUCAGAACCUAACUGAUGAAAUGAAUGAAAUUGAUAUAUCACUAUCAUGUUCUUUUUUAUCCGCUAAUAUAAAACAAUCAAUCAUCUUUAUCCUCAAAUAUCCUUGGAUGUGAUCCAUCAGAGGCAACAAAAUGACCAUGUCUCUCACAUGAGUCUGCAUCUGCCAGCACACAUACGCGGUGCAUUUUAAUGCUGUCUAAAUCAGUAAGUAAAUUGAAUACUAAUAAAGCUAAUCCAUCAAAAGAUGAGAUAAUUAAAAUCUGGAGAAUGUUAUAUAGUUCUUCAAUUGUGUUUCUCAAAAGAAGAAGAAAAAAGACAUGACGCAUAGAAAGUGGAACAACCUUAAGAUGGCAUAAAACUGAAAAAUGGAUAAAAGCAAAGAAUGGAGCAAGAACUGAAUGGAAAAAGCACUCAACCAUAUUGCACUGAACUAAGAAGAAACUGAAAGCAGAAAAAAAUGGAACAAAUCAGAAAGGUUACUAGAAAUAGACAAAAUGAAUUAAUACAUUUAGAACACCGAAUAUUCAGAGGUCAAUGAAUAUUUAAAAACCUUAGCAUACUGACAAUGUUAACUAAAUACACUGGAUAUUUAGAGAUAAAUGAAGAUUUAGAACCCAUACUGAUGAAAUGAAUAUACUAAGACACUGAAGACUCAGAGACAAACGAACAUCAUAAACCUGAUAAACUGAACCAGAUAUUGCUGCACGAAGACAAAGAACAUAACACCGAAUAUUCAUUUUUUAGAAUCAAUGAUAGACUAGACGACCUCCAUAGCCAGGGCUUGAGGCGCGCCCUUGCCACCACCUUGGCACCACGAUCCAGGCUUUGUUGUUGAGCACCACCCGGGCCUGGACCACAACCGGCGCCGAAUCUGGGAGGAGUGUCGUUGUCCAAUAUACUUCCCUUUUCUUUUGUUUUCAUACACUAUAACAACAGAGUGACAGACUAAUCAUAGAAGUUGUUCGUGCCGGGAAGAACACACUACUCCAUCUAAAGAAACCACGAACAGUCGAACACACUACUUUGUCCAGAGAAACAACUGACAAAUUUAUAGCACAAGAAAAUGGGGCAGCUAAUCCCCCGACACACCACUAACGCGGCAACUGCAACCCAAUCCUCCAUUCACUCCCCGACUGCGGAAACCGCACACAAAAAUUUGCAAUCCGCGGUUAAAAAAAAUUGAGCUAACACUAAAACCAAAAUUGGUAACCGACCUGCUACGUCACACAUCCACAAAAGCCAUGUACUGCAGAAAUCAAAGUGACAUGAAAUCUCAAAAUAAUCGAAAAUGGAGAGAGCUUCCGCGAGAAAAUGAAUGUGAAGGAGAUUUUUUACUCUCGAGGCUCGUCAAAAUCAUUACCUUCAGCGACGUCGAGGCUCAUCAAAAUCGCCGCCACCCGCGGACCCGCCAUUCUCUCUCUGCCGCCGCCGC